AAUUACCUCUGGGACUCUGGUGUGAUCGGUAAGUAAAUUACCUCUGGGACUCUGGUGUGAUCGGUAAGUAAAUUAUCUCUGGGACUCUGGUGUGGUCGGUAAGUAAAUUACCUCUGGGACUCGGGUGUGGUCGGCAUGAAAGUAGGAGGGACGAGAAAGCUGACAGUGCCACCACAACAAGGAUAUGGAAACCAGAGAACGGGGCCAAUACCACCAAAUAGUACACUGGUGUUCGAGGUCGAGUUAAAGGCCGUCAGCUGAUUCAACAAAACUCAAUAAAAAUGUACAAAAAAUA